rnacentral:rRNA from 1 species
AGUGAACGCUGGCGGUAGGCCUAACACAUGCAAGUCGAACGGCAGCACAGUAAGAGCUUGCUCUUACGGGUGGCGAGUGGCGGACGGGUGAGGAAUACAUCGGAAUCUACUUUUUCGUGGGGGAUAACGUAGGGAAACUUACGCUAAUACCGCAUACGACCUACGGGUGAAAGCAGGGGAUCUUCGGACCUUGCGCGAUUGAAUGAGCCGAUGUCGGAUUAGCUAGUUGGCGGGGUAAAGGCCCACCAAGGCGACGAUCCGUAGCUGGUCUGAGAGGAGGGUGAGCCACACUGGAGGUGAGACACGGUCCAGGCUCCUACGGGAGGCAGCAGUGGGGAAUAUUGGAAGCUGGGCGGAAGCCUGAUCCAGCCAUACCGCGUGGGUGAAGAAGGCCUUCGGGUUGUAAAGCCCUUUUGUUGGGAAAGAAAAGCAGCAGGUUAAUACCCCGCUGUUCUGACGGUACCCAAAGAAUAAGCACCGGUUAACUUCGU